rnacentral:rRNA from 1 species
UACAGAGGUCUCAAGCGUUGUUCGGAUUCAUUGGGCGUAAAGGGCGCGUAGGCGGCGGGGUAAGUCGGAUGUGAAAUCUCAGAGCUCAACUCUGAAACUGCACUCGAUACUGCUUUGCUAGAGGACUGGAGAGGAGAUUGGAAUUCACGGUGUAGCAGUGAAAUGCGUAGAUAUCGUGAGGAAGACCAGUGGCGAAGGCGGAUCUCUGGACAGUUCCUGACGCUGAGGCGCGAAGGCCAGGGGAGCAAACGGG